AGCCAGCUACAGCUCUGAUUCGACCCCUGGCCUGGGAACCUCCAUAUGCCAUGGGAGUGGCCCUAGAAAAGGCAAAAAAGACAACAACAACAAAAAAACCCAACUAUUCUAAUUAUCUUAAUUUAAAUAGGGUUGACUCCUUUUUGUUAGUUUAAAUUAAUCAAAACAGUGGUCUUUAGAAUAUCUGCAUUAUACAGGCUGAUAGUUGCUGUAUUUUUAUCUUUUUUCUGAAGGACAUUAUGUUUUGAUUCUAUUCUCUCUUUUCCAGUCCUAGGUCUAAUUCAGAAGCCUUUUAAGUUGUCCUCUUGUCCAUACAAAGGACUCUGACCUAUUCUUGCUGCUACUAUCUAUUUCAGUAGUAGGUUCAGAUGUACUUGUUUUUGGUAAAAAAUACCAGUCAUUCUUGCCAAUGGCAGCAGUUCCAUCUAUCACUUAAAAAUAUUUUCUCAGAGAAAUAGCAAUAGUGACUCAUUGAGAAAACUUCCUUAAUCUUCUGACUUUCUUCAAGGGUUUCUGCUCAUAGGACUACAAUUCUUUGAUGCUCUGACAUUUUUAUAAUUUCUUUUACUACUAACAGUUCAAAGUAUUGAUGCAUGUAACCUUGUUGCUGGCUGUGUUAAGUUUCAAGCAUCAGAAAAUGGAUUGCUUAAGAUAGUUUGCUAGGCAUACCAGUAUUUGAAAUCUGAAUUGAUAUACUUGGUGCUUCAAGACAGAUGGUGCAUUGCUUCUGUGCCGAAGAGCAUUUGGCAGUGCUGAAAUUAAGCCUUCUGUUCAGUCCAGAAUAGUUCAGUGAUGAGUGGGCAACUUUGUACAUUUUUUUUUAAUCUUGCUGAAUUUGAGUAUUUGGAAAUGUUUUAGCUUACAUAUUAACUAUAUGUAGGCACCUUCAUAGAAUGUCAUUACAAGUGUAGGCAAGUACAUAAUCACUGGAUAAGCACUGUAGAUCAGUUUGGCAUAUGGCACCACUUGUUUGUAUUUUCAUCAUAGUGAUAUGUUUCUAGUAGGAUUAACAAGUAUUCGGUCACGUUUAAACAUGGGCACAAAACUUCCCGUGUUUAAACUGUUAGCUAGGCUAAUGCUGGAAGGGUUUUCAGUGUCAUUGAAGUGAGUCUGAAGGAGCAGAGGUUUUUAAGUCUCAUGUUGAUCAUCUCUCCUCAGUUUCAUUUUAAUCCCCUGAUUAACACCUCUCUUCCUACAAUAGCAUUUCCUUAUCUAAGCCCUGGCUGGAAGAUGACAAUGAAUAGCAUCUCUAAAGCCCUGAUUUUAUUAAAAUUAGAAAUUGUUUUGUAUUCUUUUUGACUUGCAGCUUGUUAAAACUUUCUUAGUGAUUAGCCAGAAAUGUAUUUUCUCUCCAUGUGUUUUCAAAGUAGGAUUUAUGUAAUUCUGUGGUUAUCAUUAGGGGAAGAAGAGGUGUUAGGAUGCCAAAAGCCCACAACGUGAGAACUCCAGUGGGGACGUGUGAAGAUAAACAGCAAAAGCACCAUCAUCCUGCAGUUGGUUGUGGGUUAUGUUGGUGAAGGAUGUUGGUGGUUGAUUUCAGAGAGGGUACUGCAAUGUGGAGAAAACGUCCAUCCUGUUUAAGCUUUGAGAAAAGGUUUACUCCUGUGACCUGGGGUCAAAAUAUUGUAUUGCCUGCUUUUAUAAUGCUGGAAGGAUAAAGAGAUCAAUAAAAAGUUUGCUCAGAUUCUG
rnacentral:lncRNA from 1 species